UGACCAUAUCCCGUUGAAACACCUGUCCCCGUACAAUCACCGAUGUUAAGCAACGUUGAGCCUUGUCAGUACCUAGACGGGUGACCGCUUGUGAAUCCCACGUGCUGUAU